rnacentral:hammerhead_ribozyme from 1 species
AGCCGAAACGCCCCGUUCGCCCUUAUCUCUCCGCUGACCGCGGCGGCGUUGUGGAGGGCGGGCGUCCGGGGCGUCGGGGCGGGCUGGCCUCCGCCCCCUGAUGAUGGCAGGCUAAC